AGGCUCAAUUGGGUAUUGUCAGUUUAUUCAAUGUAUCAGCAUUUUUAAAAAGAUUCUGUUCAUUCCAAUAACCUAUUUUAUGUGAAUUUUGCUAUAAUGUAGAAAAAUAACUAAUGCAUCCUUCAACAUAUUUGGAAAAUAUUGAUAGACACUUUUAAAAAUAUUUUCUCAUGAGAAAAUUCAUUUUAAUUUAACUCCCACCCCAUACACACACUUUUUGGGGGUAAGUUGUCAAACAGAUGUUUAGGGCUUAGAGUCUAGGCUCAGCCUUUGAAUGGCAGUCACAAACAUAAGCAGGAGUUGGCAAACUGUGGCUUCAUGUCAGAUCUGAUUACCAUCUGUUUUUAUAAAUAACAUUUUAUUAAAACACAGCCACGCCUGUUCAUUUACCUAUUGUGCUGCGCUGAGCUUGGUUGCUCAGUUGUGUCUGAGUCUUUGUGACCCCAACGACUGUAGCCUGCCAGGCUCGUCUGUCCAUGGGGACUCUCCAAGCCAGAAUACUGGAGUGGGUUGCCAUGUCCUUCUCCAGGGGAUCUUCCCAACCCAGGGAUAAAACCCAGGUCUUCGCACUGCAGGCAGAUUCUUUACCGUCUGAGCCACCAGGGAAGCCCAAGAAUACUGGACUGGGUGGCCUAUCACUUCUCCAGGAAUCUUCCCAAGCCAGAAAUUGAACCAGAGUCCUGCAUUGCAGGUGGAUUCUUUAGCAGCUGAGCUACCUGGAAAGCCCUCAUUGGCUAUUGUCUACUGUCUAUGCCUGCUUUCUUUGCAAUGGCAGAGUUGAGUAGUAAAGAGAGAGAUUGUAUACCUUGCCAAGCUUACGGUAUUUGUUUUCUAGCUUUUUGCCAAAAGAAAAAAAAGUUUGUGAGCUCCUAAUCUAGCAGAUGCAUAUUUCUUAUAUAAAGUCUGUAUUUAAGUUGUAUUUAAAUUAGCCCAUUAUUCUAGGAUGGCCUGAUUAAUAGUGUACAUAAUAAAUUGCUGUUCAAAGAUGGUGAUUUGGUUUUAUGACUGUAAUUCUCUUAUUUAGUUAUUUUAUUUUUUGGCUGUGCUGGGUCUUCUAUGCUGCACAAGAGCUUUCUCUAGUUGCAGUGAGCAGGGGCUAUUCUUUUGCGGUGCAUGGCUUCUUACUGCGGUUGUUUCUCUUGUUGCAGAGCACAGGAUCUAGGUGUGUGGGCUUCAGUAAUUCUGGCUGUGGGCUCUAGAGUGCUGGCUCAGUAGUUGUGGCCGCAUGGGCUUAGUUGCUCCACAGUAUGUGGGAUCUUCCCGGACCAGGUAACAAUCCGGUGUCCUUUGCAUUGCGAGACAGAUUCUUAACCAAUGGACCACAAAGGGAAGCCCCUGUGACUCUAAUUUUGAUCGUUACCAUUUCCCCAAGCCAUGUUAACUUCUCUUAGAUGAAAAUGUUUAUUCUGUAAAAUAGAAUUAUGAAACAGCUAAGCCAGUACCAUGUGUGAGCCAAUGGCAAGACACCACUUACAAUGAAACCCAGUGAAAGCGAGAAGGCUAAUAAAAUUGGGGGAGGGGUUAGAACCAACUGAGUCUCCUUAGUGUAUAUAUUUCACAGCUGUGGUGCUAAGAGACAGAUUGCUUGGAAUGCCAUGGGACGGCUAAGCCAAACAAAAAUGAGAGCA
ensembl:lncRNA